CUUGGGGAGGCCGCUUCCCCGCGGAGCGACCCGCCGGCCCGGCACCCGACCGGCGUGCUCGGGGACGGUGCGCCGGGGUCGGGGUCCCCGCAAAGAGCGGCGGCCACCACCGCCGCGCCUCCCAGUGCUAAGCACGUGUAGGGCCCGGAUCGGCGCUGAGACAAGGCCACGGGGAGCCGGGCGCGCACGCCGGGCAGGUGAGUGUCCCGAUGCCGGGGCUUCGCGGGGCCUUCCCAGGCGCUUCUCUGGUCGUUACCGUCCGGUGGCUCCGCCGUUAACGGUUCUGUCGGUACUCUAGUUUCCCCGGCUCCCGCCGCUCCGCACCCCCCGGAGAAACCCAUUUACCGGCGGCGCAGCUCGGGACGGGAGCCCGUGUCUCGCGCACUUCGCGGCAGCUCGGGAGGUCCCCCUACCCGUUUUCCCGGCGCGCCGGAUCGUUCCCACCGCGCCGCUUAAAACCCCUCGCCCUAAAUUGCAAAGGAUCUGUCUUUUUUCGCCUCCCCCUGCCCGAUCCCGGUGCCGGCCACCUGAUCCAGAUGGUGGACAAGAAAAGGCGCUGACCGGAACCGGGCCUGAUCCGUGCCCGGCUCUGCCGGUGCACGGAGAAGCCCGGGGCUGCCUCGCUACAGCAGCCCCAAUGACAAUUAGUAACAAUUAGCACCUUAUCGGUGUUACACAUCCGCAGCCGGCCCAACAGGACCCGGCCCGCUCCCUCCCGCCACAGGGCCCGCUGCUGGGGAGGUGCAGGCGCGGAGGCCCAGCGGCAGGGCGGCGGGCUGCCGGGGCUCUGCACGGCGCCGCGCAUUCCGGGAGCCCCGCGGCGGCCGAUCUCUGUGGCGGGCACGGCAGCGGCGGCAAUGAGAGCUACUGGGCCACAGUCCGGUGUUCCCCUGCCCGACUGUCUGCGGGAGCAGCAGCCACCGUGCCGAGAGCCCGGCCCCUGGGUCGCCUGGCUCCAUCGCACUCCCGCCCGUAGCGGGAUCCCGGACGGGCCGACCGCAGGCGCGGCCUGCGGGAAUGGAGAGUCUGGGCAUGGUGGAACCGGCGCCCCAGCUCGACCCUGUGGCGGUGGGAACCGUUCUCCCGCUGGAACCCGCUCAGUCGUGCCGCCGUCGGCCCCAGAGAGUGCUCGAGUAACCCAUGCCCGCGGAGGGAGCAAGCCGCGGCCGGAUCCCGACACGCGUGGGAGCACCCCUGUGUUAUCCUGGCCUUUUCUGUGGCCCCCUCAUUCCCCGCCAGUGCUCCCGAUGCGGUAACCGAGCCCGUGCCUUCCCGCACUGCCGUCAUGCCCUCUUUGGUGGGUCAGGUCCACUUCGUCAGGACACGAGUGGCCAUUUCCUAGAUGGGUAAGCCAAGGUAGCAGGGAGACGCUCGGGCCCGGUACGGGGCAGCAGGCGCCGAGCAGCACGACUGGGACGGUGCGAGUGGUCGGGUGUGGACGAGCCAGGGGAGGGCGCAGCCCUGGUACCUGCCGGCGGGUGUCAGCCCCAGGAUGCAGCUCCGAGGCUUUACUAAGCCGGCUGGGCUGGGGUCACCGGGCUAUUAAUGGUUAUUUUAUUUAUAUCAUUAGCGGUGUCCCCGCAGCUCUGUUUACAGCGGGGCCUUGUUGUCCCGGCCGCUCCUGCGCUCUGUUUAGACAGGGGAUUAUUGUAAUGGAUGGAGUUCGCCGUGCGGAUGCUGCAGCGGAGCCAAGAGCCCCCCCGGGCCCAGGGGAAGGGGGGAGCAAGCCCUGCAGCGGCCGCGCACACCGCGGCUGGCGGGCAGCCCCCCUUUCUCUGGGCCCCGGGCGCAGGCAGCCCGGUAGCAGGCGACCGCGGCCGGGUGCCUCGCUCGGGGCGAUGCUAUCAGCCCCAGGGCUGCUAAUUGCUCCAUUAGUCUCGCGGGUGCAGAGUGCUGGAGCCGGCCCUGCGCUAAUGGCCGUAAACAAACAAACAUGUUAAUCCGGCCCUGUCUCCAGCCCCGGUGUUCGGGGAGCCAACGAGGGACCGCGGCGCUGCCCCGGCGCGGCUGCGGGAGGCCCUCGGCGGGCGGCACCCACCUGCCCGCCACCCUGGGCAGUCCGGAGGCCCACGGGCCGGGGCCGGUGCGGACCCGCGCCGCCGGGAGCAGCCCCGCGCGCCCGGCUCUAUUUACACAGAGCCUGCCCUUGUGUAAACGCUGCGCGCCGUGGUUUAUCUCAGGGCCCGUCUGUUUCUCGUUCUCUGUCAGCAGCGGCCGGUGAAGGAUGGCCCUUUCCCAGGGGCUCGACCCUGAUUUAUGUGAGAACCGCAGCGCGCCGGGGACGCCCCCGCACGGCGGGGCCGGCGACGCACCGCGGAGAGGCGGCGGGGUCCCGGGGCAGCGACCCGCUGAUGGGGCCGCCGGUGGGAAUGCGCCCGGCCCGCGCCGGCUUCGCACUCCGCGGGCACCUGCCGGCCUGCCAGGCGCCCACCGCGUAGCCCGGCACGGCGCUGAGCCCACUCCCGGGCGGUGGUCGGUCACGGCUCCGCGCCGCACGGUGCGCAGCGAGCGCACCCCGGGGGGCUUCGGAGGGAGCGGGCACGGCGAGGCCCCGACAGCAGCUCCCCGCCCGGGAGCACCCCCCCACAGUGCGUCCACCUGGGCACGGACCGGGGCCGUCGCCUCUACCGGGUCGAAGGACGGCUUUUAUCCAAGCCCCGCCGCUUCCUCGGGAACCGUUUCAUACCUUCUUCAAACGAAAUGUUUUCUCUGUUCCCCAGAGGAACCGAGGGGCUCCUGCGGUGGAGCCAGGUCCGACAAGGGAUGCUGCACACUCACCCAACAGCGUGCUGUCUUUAUCUCCCACUGCCCUGUCCCAGCCCUGCCCGGGCGAUGCCGGCACUGUCCUCUGCACUUGGGUCUUCCAGCUGACACCUGCCUCUACCUCUCAGUGUCGUGGUAUCCCCCUGUCUUGGCUUUGCCAAGACUCACACACACAAUGCCCAUUUUAUUCAGAAAUACAUCACUGCAAAUAUUGCUUUUCUUCAAUGUUUUCUUGCUCCACGGGCACUGGCUGAUUUACUUCACAGUUCUUCACAGUAUAGGGAUGUAAGAUUUGGAAAUAUGUCCUAAAACAACACCUCCAUGAGAAAUUUGUUUUCUGAAGGCCAGACCCAGAUUCUUCAGUGUCCUGAGAAAUGCAUAUGUUUCCAAGGUGGGAGCUUGAUUUGGGGGGAACCAGUAGCUGUGUGCAAUAUUCCGUGCUUAGCACUUUGGGGAAUAGGAGCAGCACAUGCAAGGGUGCUGAUCAUUGCAGCAAGAUGAGCUCAGUAGGUUUGGACACCGAAGGGAAGGCUGCCCUUGAUUUUUGUGCCCAAUGGACCUGUGAAACUGAGGCUGAUGCGUUGAGCUCAGUGACAGCCAAAUUGCAGGAGCAGGUAAAGGUCAUCCUACAUCUGAGGCAAUGCAGGGUAGGAAAUGUCAGUACUAAGUGCCCCCUCCCGCCUGCUUUUAUUUGGAGUCACUUGUGCACAAAGGAUAUCCAGUCUUCACAAAGACACCCUGUUGCACAACACAGCCCCGCGACUGUGGACGUGCAGAGGGCAGCAAAAUACUUCUUCCUCUGGAGGAGAAGCUGUCAUAAAUCACAGUUUUCUGCUUGUGUGAUGAGAAGGUUCUGAGGUCCUGUGUUGAGGCUUCUGUUGGAGGACACUGCCCUGAACGCGUGUACACAACCACCCUCUUGCCACUUAUGCAGAGUAAAACCCACAGCCUUUCCAGAAGCGCCUUUACUCCGUGCCUUGGAAGCCAUGGCUGCAUGUUUACAUCCAUGAAGUUAAGAAGCAGGGCUGAAAUUCAUGCUUCAGCUGAGGCCCAGCAUGAGGCUUGCUCACUAUAGGGCAAGUACCACCACCAUAGCGCUUAAGUGGAGCCUAAGUGGACCCUGGGCCUUGCAUUGGCGGCCUGCCUGGUGCUGGAUUUCAGCUCUGAGCCCAGGCCUGCAGCUCUGAUUCAUGCGUGUAAUCCUGCUGAGGUCAGUGGGUUUCAUCCUGCUCCCACCACAGUCCGCGGGACAGUUCACACGAGAGUGGCAGGGUCAGGCUCUGUGUUUGCAUGUGCUGUAGAAAAUGGAACAAUUAAGAUUAAACCAAUUAAAUUUUAA